rnacentral:hammerhead_ribozyme from 1 species
AGUCAGUUGACGAGUCCCAAAUAGGACGAAAUGUACAUCCUGGAU